AGGACACGCAGAAACAGCACCCUCCUGGAGAAAGGGCCCCACUCAGCCUGCCCUGGCCUUGCUGGAGGUGGGGCUUUUCGGGAAAAGAACGAGGAGGCUGAAGACAGGAAAGCCAGCGGGUGGGGAGGCUGGGACCCUGGGGGAGGGGUGGGAACAUUGUGAAGGCCACACCCCAAGCCCUGGGGCCCUGUAUUGGGUCUUUGUUGCAUUGCUAUAAAGAAAUACCUGAGACUGGGUGAUUUAUAAAGGAGAGAAAUUCGACUGGCUCAUGGUUCUGCAGGCCGUACAGGAAGCCUGGUGCUGGCAGAUCUGCUUCUAGGGAGUUCUCAGGAAGCUUCUGGUCAUGGUGGAAGGCAAUGCGGAGCCAGCGAGUCACAUGAUGAGACCCCGAGCAAGAAAGAGAGGCCGGGAGGUGCCACACUCUACAACAACCAGAACGUGCCUGUGUAAUCAGAACCCAGAAAAGGGAAAAGAGCAUUCUUCACCACACAGAAGUCCUGGUGACAGUCUUUCUAGUUAUCGGCCCACUGCAAGGCAACCUGGAGCUGUGCGGACUGAGACUGAGAUGCAUCGCUGAAACUCUCUUUAGGUGUUCCCUACCAUUUCUUCUUGGAAAAGAAGGUUUUACCUCCUGGGAUUUUUGAGAACCUCUAACUUCUCCAUUGGGGACCAUCUCCAGGUACCACCAAAAAAGAGCACAACAGCAGCCUUGCGGAUAAGUCCUGGUCUGGAGUCAGCCACCGCUGCACACACCACUCAGAGCUGCAUCAUCGGGUUACCCCUGGAAAGGCUGCCCACACACCCACAUCCAGGGGUGUCUCGUCACUGCUGACGACUAGCACGGAACCUGAAAGCUCAGCAUGAGAUGAAGUGGCUGGAGGCACGUGAGUCCUGCACUGAUAGAGGCCGGUUCUGUCAAGCCUCACCUGGAUGAUGUGUGUGACUCUUCCCAUAGAAAGGAGCAGGCUCUCUCAUGAAGCCUCCAUUCUAGCAUUUUGUGAUCAUCUAUGACCUUAGAGGGGUCCUCUAUAACCCUGAGUCCCAAACAGGUGAAUACAGAGUGGGCUCACACUUAUUUCUCCAUUAUUCCUGUGUUCUUUCAGGAGGCUGACCAUCAAACCUACUUAGAAGUCAGACCUUGAAUGUAAGUACAUGUUGUUCAUUAUCUAUAUCUUUUGCAUGACAGAAUGUCAGUUAUAGGAUAAAUAACAGAGGGUAGGCUGUGUACCAAGUCAUGGUGACAACAAUACAAAGCAAGGCUGGGCGCGGUGGCUCAUGCCUGUAAUCCCAGCACUUUGGGAGGCUGAGGAGGGUGGUUCACGAGGUCAGGAGUUCGAGACCAGCCUGGCCAACAUGGCGGAACCCCAUGUCUACUAAAAAUAGAAAAAUUAGCCAGGCGUGGGUCACAUGACUGUAGUCCCAGCUACUCAGGAGGCUGAGGCAGGGGAAUUGCUUGAACUUGGGAGGCUAAGAUUGCAGUGAGCCGAGAUUGCACCACUGCACUCC
rnacentral:lncRNA from 1 species